CAUUUUUGAAUAAUAAUGAUGAUGGUGAUUUUGGCUUGGUUGUGGAUUGAAAAGUUUAUCAUGAUGUUGUUGAAUUCUUCUCUUUUUACUGUGUUUCAGGUCGGAUUCUCUUGAUCUUCUCCAUCAAGUUUUAAGUAUGUUCUUUUUUUUUUCUCAUCGGAUUCUCUUGAUCUUCUCCAUCAAAUUUUAAAUAUGUUCUUUUUUUUUUCUCAAGUUCUCCUGGCUUUUGGUGAUUUUUGUUUCCUUACUUUCACAAUAGACUUUCUUUUUUACAAUUAUUUCAGAUUAUUGGUUGUAUCGACCGAUGACCAACGCACCUUUUCCAAAACCAGUCAAAAUUAAUCCAGACCAAUGGAAACCAAAUCACGAAACUAACAGGGGCUCCGACAACCCCAGUCAGCCAAAAUCACGAUUAGCCUACGCU
rnacentral:sRNA from 1 species